rnacentral:rRNA from 1 species
UUUGUCUUUAUGGCAAAUGUGAGAUGCAGUGUAUGGAGUGUCAAUUUUCUAAUAUGAUAAAUUAACGAUUUAAGUCCUUCUUAAAUGAGGCCAUUUACCCAUAGAGGGUGCCAGGCCCGUAUAACGUUAAUGAUUAUUAGAUGGCAUUUCCAAAGAGUCGUGUUGCUUGAUAGUGCAGCACUAAGUGGGUGGUAAACUCCAUCUAAAACUAAAUAUAACCAUGAGACCGAUAGUAAACAAGUACCGUGAGGGAAAGUUGAAAAGAACUCUGAAUAGAGAGUUAAAUAGUACGUGAAACUGCUUAGAGGUUAAGCCCGAUGAACCUGAAUAUCCAAUAUAGAAAAUUCAUCAUUAUGAUUUUAAUAUAUUAUAAUAAUGGUGUGCAUUUUUUCUAUUGAGGACAUUGUAAUCUAUUAACAUAAAAAUUUAUCAUAAGAUCAGCAAUAGUUUAUUUAAAUUAUUUUGCUUGCAAUUUAACAUAGAAUAAAUGCUUUUGAUUUGAUAAAGUGUUGAUAGAUUUAAUAUAUAGUGCUUGAAUAAUAUUCUAUAAUAGCAUAUUAAUUAUUAAUUUUUAUGUUUUUUAUAUGCACUUAUAUGAUUAACAAUGCGAAAGAUUCAGGAUACCCUCGGGACCCGUCUUGAAACACGGACCAAGGAGUCUAACAUAUUUGCAAGUUAUUGGGAAAAACCUAAUAGCGUAAUUAACAUAACAUAAUGGGAUUAGUUUUUAGCCUAGUCUAUUAAUUCAAUCCCGGGGCGUUCUAAACAGUUAUGUAUAAUAAUAUUUAUAUUAUUUAUACCUCUAACUAGAGCGUACCUUGAGCAUAUAUGCUGUGACCCGAAAGAUGGUGAACUAUACUUGAUCAGGUUGAAGUCAGGGGAAACCCUGAUGGAAGACCGAAACAGUUCUGACGUGCAAAUCGAUUGUCAGAAUUGAGUAUAGGGGCGAAAGACCAAUCGAACCAUCUAGUAGCUGGUUCCCUCCGAAGUUUCC